GGGUGAGGUAGUAGGUUGUAUAGUUUGGGGCUCCGCCCUCCUAUGGGAUAACUAUACAAUCUACUGUCUUUCCU
ensembl:miRNA